CCAGGACGCUUGAAGAAGGGAAGCUGCACUAGCCAUGAUGAAAGCAUCUUUCUCCACAGCCGCAUUUCUAACUUGCUUCUGAUUUAGAUAGUUCCUCCAGAAUCGCUAAGGGAAAUGAAAAGAGAAAAUGGCUGUCACAUUACCACUCGUUAAAUAGAAGAGUAAAAUGGCUCUUUCAUAUGGAGAAUCUCUUUCUCAUCCUACCUGAAUAAUAACAGACGCCUGUCUCAAGUGAAGGAACUGCUGCCUAGAGAGCAAGACCCUGAACCACCGCUGCAGCAGUAUGAUUCUGCGAAGCACUUCCUGAUGAAGCAGAUCCUGUAAGUGCUGUCGUUCAUGCUCCUUUAGGAACACCUAUCAGAAGGAAGACAAGGAAUAAAGCUUAAGAAAAAAUGA
rnacentral:lncRNA from 1 species